rnacentral:lncRNA from 1 species
GGAGAAGCACCUGGUAGCGCCAUCGCAAAUAUUGAAUCUACUUAAAGAAUUAGAUAUGUAUUUGCACAUCUUUCAGCAAAUCCUUCUGAUUUAACCUCUAAUAGAGAAAUCAAAUAUGUUUUUUCUUCUCGGAGCUUCUCAAAGUCCUAGCAGUCGCACAAACAUAACCAACUCUGACAUGAAGGGAUAAAUUUGCUCAAAUCAACCAAAAAAGUACAUGAGUAUCCAAAACGCCUCAACUACUCUAUUGGGAAUAGUACUAAUAUCACUUUGAAUGCAUACGAAAGUUCUUAGGUGCUAUAUAAUUCAGUUGAGAUUUAUUUAAGAAAUACGAAUGUAGUUUUCUAAUAGUGCUAGCAUAUAUAAUGGUGGAAGCACAAGAAAGAUAGGUGAGAUCCUCAAC